GCUGUAGGCCCUCCAGUUGGUCCGUAUACAUCUGGUGCUCUGCGCGCGGCGCCAUGGCGAUGAGAAUUGCAACCGAGGAAAGUGUCGAGUUUUGAAGCUGUUUCAAUGAUUUCCAGAAAUCUCGCAGUCGUAGAGGUCCAACAAGAAGGCUACUUCAGUUUUAAGUAAUGGAGCUUGUGAAUUGGGAGCUUGUGAAUUGGGGCUGAAAAUGAAAAGGCUUUGAAAGAUGAUGGGAUCAUCCAUUUUGAGCUACAAAUGCAUUAUUGAAUCUCUCUAAUGAAUCAAGAAUUGGUUCCUUAUGAAGGCUUUGAAUUAUUAUAGAUUAACUGCUUCUAAUUGGAUACUAGAAAAUAAAGGGGUACAAAUAUGUAAAAUUUGAGUGGUUUUAGUUGCUAACAAGAGAUAGAGAGAAAGAGAGAGAGAGGGGUUUUAGAGAGAAUUUUCAGAGGGUUGGGAAAAUGUUGGAAAUGAAGGAGUUGGAUUCGAAGAGGCGGGCGAACUCGAAUCUGGAGCGUUUCCUGAACUGUACGACCCCAUCGUUCCCUGCACAGCGCCUAUUUAAGGAUUAUAUUCAUGGUUCAGAGGAACUCGAACAAUGGGGUUCUUUCGAAAAUGGGUAUUCGGAAUAUUUUAGGCUGAGAGACCUAUGGAACUGCUACGACGAGUGGAGUGCAUAUGGAGCAGGAGUUCCUGUUCAUCUUAGAACUGGGGAAAUUGUUCUACAAUAUUAUGUGCCUUAUCUCUCAGCUCUACAAAUCUAUACCCGAACCCCCAUUACACCAACUUCACCAUUCAGUGAUCAAGCAAGGGAUGGAAGGCACAGCAGUGACUGUGACCUCAGGGACUUAAGUGGCAGUGAUAGUGAGAGUGUAAACUCGAAUUCAAGUGAGAGCAGGUCUUCAAGCCUUCAGAGUUGGUGCAGCAAUUAUGACAAUGAAAGGUGGGAAGCCCAAUCAGAUGGAAACAGAGAAAAUUUUUGGAGGCCGACUAACCGACUAGGAUACCUCUAUCUUGAGUACAUGGAGCACACUCCACCUUAUGCAAGGGUUCCUUUCAUGGACAAAAUUAACCAGCUUAUUGCCGGAUGCCCUGAGCUUACCUCCUUGAGAAGCAUCGAUUUAUCUCCUGCGAGUUGGAUGUCAGUUGCUUGGUAUCCAAUCUAUCACAUACCCCCAAGCCGAAUGGUUCGGGAUCUCUCAGCCUGCUUUCUCACAUACCACACCCUCUCCUCAUCCUUCCAAGGGAUUGUUCCUAACUGCCAAAACUGUCUUUCAAGCCAAAGCACCCAAUGAUGCUAUGGAACAUUUGACAUGAGCACCUUGGCAGAAACUAUGGGGUGGUCAUGGACUCCCUAAUCUUGGCCACUAUUCAGCUGAAAUUCAUACCAAAGUACUUUUGGGAUUUGGAGUUCUCUUUUUGCUUACACAUAUAGAUAUGCACAAAAUGUGUGAAGGCUAAGAGCAAGCGCCACCAAUAAAAGGGCACAAUAAUGGUCCUUGUUUUCUUUCUUAGUUAGUGAGGAUGAUGAGCCUCUACCCAUUUUCGGUCCCCUAGCUAUUUGUGAAAUAGUCCGUUUUUUUAAUCCGUUAGUAAAAAUGAAGGUCAAGACUUUUGGUACUACCAGUAGAUUGGGCCCACAGAUUGGGUUACCUGCCAAAUAUACAAAAUUUCUUGGGAGUAUAGUUCUUUGAAGUAUUUUUUGUGAAAUAAUAUUUAAUCAAUACUACUUUGAGCUUGGGGCCCAGGCUGAAGCUAAGCCUUGAAGGUUGAACCAUGUAUGGAAUGGUGAAUGAUCUAAUAGUUUUGAUUGGGGGACAGAUGGUGAUAGCUUGAUGAGAGGAGGAGAUGUGAGAGAGAAUGAAAAGAAUAUAAGGCUGGAACCUUUUGGAUUGGCAACAUACAAGCUUCAAGGUGAUGUUUGGCUACCUUUGAGGGGAGGGGGUUCGGAGCAGUGGCGCCUUUAUGCUUUGUGGACAUCCUCUCUCUCCUGGCUCAACCAGCUCCAGGUCCACCACCCUGACUUCCACUUCUUCCUCCACCAUAGAGACUAAAACUUUAAGAGCAGAUUAAAUAUAUGGAUUUCCAUAAGAUUUCAUUUUGCCCAAGGAGAUGAAGGGGUAUGUCCUCACUUUUUGCAUAUUAAACCCAGUGGUUUUGAGGUCCUAGCUUCUUUGCCCUUUUUUGGAGGGUUUGAAUUCCUUUGAGCCGUAGGAUUGCAUUUCUCACUUUUGGCCUUGGUCUUGAAAUAGAUGAGGAAACGGUUGCAAUUGUGUCUCAUGAGCAAGCUGGUGAAGGCACUGUAAAAGAACUUGUUUGAGUCGGCCUGUGAAUAUUGUUUGUACAGGCCCUUUUUUUUUUUUUUGGCCAAUUCUCGUGUACGUACGAUGGUGAAAGCCUAGUAUUUAAAAGAAAAUACAAGGUGAAUAGCGGUAACUGCAAGUGUUGUUUUCAACCUAUGGAAUAUCUUUAGAUAAUAAAGGAAAUUUUUUUAAUCAGAA